CAAGCCUCGAAGCUGGGCUUCAUCGGACACGCCCCCUUUUUACUCGGUACAAACCUCGAAGCCUGGAUUCAGAUGGUCCAUCACCACCGGAUACAUCUACAAACAAGCAGAGAGCCACCCACAGUCGCCCACUCACCCCACAUCCACCUUGAGGUGACAGCCCCACUGUCACAUCAUGGCAGCUUGACUCUUUCUUCAGGCUCUUGGUGAAGGAACAAAAGCAGCAAAUAAACAAAACAUCACAGGAAGGGAAGUGGCAGCAGAAGGAUGAUAUUAAUACUUUUUUCUUCCCCUGCGAGAACCGCUGUCAGUCAAAUGGAGUUCGCUUCGUGUGCCGGCUUCCCACUUUGAUUUUCAGUCGACGUCCCUGCAGGUGGCCUUCCUUUUUUCAUGUAAGCAUGGCAACUGUCGUACCUAAUGACCACACAGAACAGACAAAUAUAAUCUGAAACUGUUACUUUGGGGACAUGAAAGACAAAUAAAAAAGAAAACAAGACAUGAA